CUGCUUCGCUGAGUGCAGCUGGAUACGCCUGCAGAGGUCCAACCCUGAACAGUUGGGGCAAAAAUGGACACAAUAUUCAAGCUUGAUACAGGUCUGAAUUUGGAUUGUAAUAAAAUAUUUGACAUAUUAUAGGUUUCUGAAUAAAUGUGUCAAAGAACUUGAAAUUGGUUAUAUGACUUGAAUUUAUAUUCAAUUGAAGAUUGUUGUGCAAUACACUGUGCUGUUGCGCAAUAUUUAGUAAAUCUGUUUU